GAUGAACGCUGGCGGCGUGCCUAAUACAUGCAAGUCGAGCGAACGGGCGAGAAGCUUGCUUCUCUGAUGUUAGCGGCGGACGGGUGAGUAACACGUGGAUAACCUACCUAUAAGACUGGGAUAACUUCGGGAAACCGGAGCUAAUACCGGAUAAUAUUUUGAACCGCAUGGUUCAAAAGUGAAAGACGGUCUUGCUGUCACUUAUAGAUGGAUCCGCGCUGCAUUAGCUAGUUGGUAAGGUAACGGCUUACCAAGGCAACGAUGCAUAGCCGACCUGAGAGGGUGAUCGGCCACACUGGAACUGAGACACGGUCCAGACUCCUACGGGAGGCAGCAGUAGGGAAUCUUCCGCAAUGGGCGAAAGCCUGACGGAGCAACGCCGCGUGAGUGAUGAAGGUCUUCGGAUCGUAAAACUCUGUUAUUAGGGAAGAACAUAUGUGUAAGUAACUGUGCACAUCUUGACGGUACCUAAUCAGAAAGCCACGGCUAACUACGUG
rnacentral:rRNA from 1 species